rfam:Glossina pallidipes unplaced genomic scaffold Scaffold264, whole genome shotgun sequence.
ACCCCAUUGCAUAAGCCGACGUGAAGAGUGUUCAUCCAACUUCUCAAGUGGUGUGAGAUGGGAACAGUAGACUUAUUCUGAUGUGUGUAUGUUGUUAAACGAUAUCCUCGUUUACCAGCAAAGAAUUUUUCAGUGUACA